UGGAGCCUAAACCGUUGACGAUAGAGAUAUGGUCUCGCAAAGUUUUUUGAAAGAAAUACUCUACAAUUUUUUUUUACAUUUUUUUGUGUCUUUAACCAUAUUUGCAGCGUUUUAAAAAAUAUGGGACAAAGCGCAAAUUUUAAAUUUUAAAUAAUUUUUUUUCAUGUUUCUUAUAAAAAUUUUAGACAGCAGUUUUAGUCAUUCUGUUAAGAGUGCAAAGCUCAACAUUUUUGCAUUUUUUCCAAGAAUUGGUAAAAUAGUUGAAUUUAAAUUAAUUUUAAAUGCUUUUUUUAUUUUUACUCUGCCGUACUAUUUAUUUGGGUUCAGAAAAAUUGUAUCUCGUUUUGUCUCCUAAGAUAUAGUCCUCCCUACGUAGCUUAAACCUUAUAGACUUUGAGUUUUAUUUUUUCUAUUUCACUUGUAUAAGUUUUUUUGUUAAGGCUGGGACUCGAUAAUAAUAUUUGGGAAUCAUUGUUUACUAGUGUUUACAAUUUCAAGUUUAGAAAUAACAAUUUUAAGAAUGGAAGACAUAAUAGGAAGUCCGAUUAGUUUCACUAAGAGAUUAUUUCUGUGCUUUACUGUUUUUACAACUUGUGUGUUUCAAGUCUAAGAAUUGUAUAUCUAUAAAGUGAGACAAGCACUGCAAACUGGGGAAAACAACGGUCAGUUAUAUAAAAUUUUAUUGCUCUAUUAAUUAAUUUCUCCGCUUGCGCUAUGUUUUUGCGAUAAUUUAAUUAAACAGUUUGUUUUUAAUUUGUUUAUGUGUCAUAAAUCAUAAUUGGAGACCCAAAGUUCUAUUUAUAGCUGAUCUCUUUGUGUAAGUGUAACCCAUCCAUAAUCCUUCCCAGCUGUUUAUCUCAAGCAAAAGUAGUCUUUUGCAAAAUCAUUGCUUUGUUUUUUUUUCUUUUAACUCUUUAAUAUUUCCCCGAAUUGAUAAAAUUAUUUUCAAUUAGAUUAAAUCAAUUAAAACAAAUCCACUCGGCACAUAAUUGAUAACCACUGAAUUUGACAAGCCGUCAGCGCAUCCUCCAUCACUCCCAACACCUUGAAGUAUAAAUAAUACCCCGUCCCAUAUUUGAAAAAAACAUAUUUUCCAUAGAAAAAUAAGUUGCAAAACUCUCAAGUUCAAUAACCGUCGUUAAAAACAAGUGCGACGAUAAGUUGUGACCUGCAAAUCGAAAUUGGCUAGGUGUCAAGCCCUCGUGUCGCACAUGCAUGGCCGAUCAAAGGGCCAAUUAUCGCAAACAUUUCGUUAAACAUUGGCAAUGCUAAUGAGCUACUAACUGGCCGUGUUAACGGAUCGACAUGGACGUGUGCCACAUCAAUAGGUGGCUGGGAUUAAUUUUGUGACGUCAUUACACACCUAACAUUACCGUUAUAGGGUUUUUCGAUCGCAAUUAUUGUAAUUUGGGAGUUAAGCUGUCAGCUGUCUUACUUAUUGCUUAUCCCCUGUCACUUCUUAGAAUUCUGCCGUUGGGAUUAAUAAUAGGGAUUAAGUCAUGUGAUCCGGAUUUUGCUAGAUCUCACGUUCGUUCUUUUGUAGCUACAAUGGUCUGAAAGGUUCCACUCUCCCCUAUCUAGUUUUUUUAACAGGCGGUAAUACUAAAGUAAUUUAUUGACUAAAAUAUUGGAAAAUUUUAUAAUUAUAAUGAAUGAUAAGUAGAACGGUUCUUUUAUGUAGCCGUAUCAAAGUGGAAUAUUUAAUCCAAUUAAGCGCUCUCGGAUUUGUUUUAUUAUAUCAAUACUUCAUCACCUUUAUUGACAGAUACGGUUGUAAAAACAAUACAUAAAGUUGCAAUCAUUUGUUUUUGUUAGCCUUUUAACAAGGUAAAGUUUGUUACAAAAUUUUGGCAUUGGAAUUAAAAAUUUCAAGAACAGUCGUAAACCCGUGCAGGUUUCCACCCCUUUAUCUCCUCGAACCGCCUGUAUCCAGCUCGCGCCGCUACUCACCGGCCUUGCAGGGGUCCAGGUCCUGGUCGUCGGAGACCUUCUUCGGGAAGGUGGUGGAGAGGAGGUCCUCGACGGUGAACCGCUUAGUCCUGUUAUCACAGUUCGCGGCACGCAAGACACACAACAAACUGAUAAAGGCCGCCACACACUGCAUGCUUCCGACGCGAACACUGGACUAGGGUGAAAUCACAUCGUUUUUCGAAUGGAAGCGCUGGGUUUAUGGCAUUAUCAGAGAUGUUUGGCCAAGCGGACAAAGAUCACUUGCGCGACUCGUGCCUGCAUUUCCCUCCUGAAGACGACGACAACUGGAACAGUGGAUCGCAGUCAGAUAUUUGAGCGAGAUAACAGCGUUACGUGUCAAUUCAUACUGAUUUAUUUUUACUGUGCAAUUAAUUUCAAAUUAAAUGCGCGCAUUAAUCAUUUUAGCAGCGAUUUCAGCAAUUUUGCAACGAGGAGGAGCUGCAGCGCGAGGGUGGAACACUCAUUAGUGCAGGCUGAGGUGGCUAACGAAACUACUCAAACCGGCAAAUGAUGACAAAAUAAUUCAUACGUGGCUCGACAAACGCCCGACUCAACACCGACAUUUCCUCUGAGGACAAACUCAUUUGCGAGAAAAUUCAUUUUUCUCUAAAACAACGACUCUCUAUUCCAUUAGUUCUUGUAACCUUCAUUGUAUCUAAACUUGAAAGUAAACAAAAAUAAAAAGUACAUCUGUA